rnacentral:rRNA from 1 species
AUACGGAGGGUGCAAGCGUUAAUCGGAAUUACUGGGCGUAAAGCGUACGUAGGCGGUUUAUUAAGUCAGAUGUGAAAGCCCCGGGCUUAACCUGGGAACUGCAUUUGAAACUAGUAGACUAGAGUAUGGUAGAGGGGGGUAGAAUUCCUAGUGUAGCGGUGAAAUGCGUAGAUAUUAGGAGGAAUACCAGUGGCGAAGGCGGCCCCCUGGACCAAUACUGACGCUGAGGUACGAAAGCGUGCGGAGCGAACAGGAUUAGAAACCCUAGUAGUCC